CACACACACACACACACACACACACACACACACACACACACACACACACACACACACACACACACACACACACACACUCACUCAUAGCUCCAUGUUUGUAGAAAGCAUUAUGAAAUCAGGUGCAGCUUUUUUUCCCCCAAACCAAGAGCGCCCCUGUGUGGCCGAGAAGCAGCGCUGCGCCUCUGCAGUGGAUGCAGUUUCCAUAGCAACCUUCCAGACUUUUCUGUAUUGUCUGCAGCCACAGGAGUGAAAGCCGUGGAGGCCACAGAACCACCAUGUUGUGGAAGCCUCCAUGUUGCGUCAUUUCACCCUCCAGCAGUUAAAAAAGUAUGAAAUAUAACAUAUUUACAGACACUCAUGUGAGCUGUGGUCCAAUACAUCUCAGUCACACAGAGAAUAUGAUCCACACAGACGCUCGAAAACUGGGCUGCAACUAACAGUUAUUCUAAUUGUCGGCUAUUUUAGGUUUAAAAUAUAUUGUGUUGAAUAUGAUGAGAAAGAAAUGUCCGUCGCAAGUUCCCUGAGACUCAGUUGAGCUUUGAAAUCUUUAUUUUUCUCAGUCACGAUGUAGAAAAAGGAAAAAGUAACCCAUCACAUUCAAUAGUUUGUAAAAGAAAAAUAUGACAUUUUGGAUUUUUUUAGAGCUUAAUUGAUUCUGGUUUUGGGUAUUUUUGGAUAUUAGUGUUGUUGUAAAAUGUUCGGAAGCAACAAAUGACAGUAAAAGAACAAUUUGAACAGCAACGCUUACUGGAUUAACACAAGUUAUAUAAACAAACUAAAUCUAAUACAAAGAUGUAAAAACAAUGACAUUUUGCCACUUUUUGUUGCAUAUCAGCAGCCAGGUAUGGCAGCCCUAAAAGGCCAAAAUCUGAAUUUUAUUUUUUGAAAUUGCAAAACUUCAAGAAACUGAACAGAUCAGUUACUAAAUUAACCUUUUUUUUUUUUAAAAACAUCUCUCCAAUUAUGUUAUAUUCAACUUCGGGAGUGACUGCAAAUCCCUGAACAUUUAAUUUUUGAAAAUGCAAAAAAAAAAAAUUGAAUAAAAAAUUGUUAAUCACAAAAAAAAAAAAAAUGUUAAAAUGGAAAUUAUUUUGGCGCUUUUUUUUGCUUCCGUACAUUGCUGACACAAAACUGUAUCAGUUGAGCUACUGUAGUUGAAAUCGCAAAAUUAAUUUUCAAAAAAUGUCAACUUUCAGUCUCAAACGCUUUCCAGUCUCAAUAUUUUAGCACUUAUAUAUUUAGCGACCAGUCCAGGUUCGACGCAGAGAUUUAUUUCACAGUGAGACAACAGGUCACCUGCUGCGUUCGAGGUUUCCGUAAUUAGCGCCGUCAUCAAAGCACCUUACUCAUCUGGACUCCCGGGACGAAUCAUUCACGCCCAAACAGGAUGGAAAACAAGGGGAUUUUUAAACAAACUGAUGGAAUAAAAAACGGUCCAAGAGGACGUCCUGUUGGAUUAUUAUCUGACGGACGGAUGGACGGAUGGACGGAUGGACGGAGGUUAACUGCAGACAGACGGACGGACGGCUCUUCAGCUUCAGAUGACCAACGGAUUCAUACCACCGGCUGGUCACAGAGGGAGGGGUAGAAUGAUGAGCCGCUCCUCCGCCUCGCCAAAAUCAAAAGAUUAUGACAUCCCCACUUUCCCCACCUCUUCUUCGUCCUUCUCUUCUUCCUUUCUCUGAUGAAGGUGAAAUAAAGCAAACUCUGGAUAAAAACACUGACAUUCAUAGGAAACACGGAGCUAUGAGACGCCUUCCUGUGACAAGAGGACGUCCUGACUGAGCAAAGCUGCAGCAGUCGGACUCUGAGGUACGACAAACGUUACUUGAAUCAUCUGCUACGUAUAUUUAAACCGAGUCCUCCAUUUAUUCGUUCGUAGAUGUUGGGAGAUUGCUCUUCUUGCUGUAAGUCCUGUCUGUACGUUCAGCGUAUCAUAUUCAAACCAAAACAUAUUAUUGCAUGCCUGGAAAGUAGAGCAUGUAAACAGACGAAAACAAGGUUGACACAUGGGAACAACAACAACAGCUCAUCGAAGUUUGAAAUAACUCUGUUCGACUGGUGGAGUUGGUUGCUAAAACUAUAUUUUUUAAAUUAUCAUACUGUAUAUGUUUUAUAUGGAAAUUAAUUGGUUAAUUAUUUUGUAGAUUUUUAACAUUUUUGCUAACAUGUUUGAAUUUUUUUUUCAUUUUUCUUUUUUCAUUUUUGCCUUAUGAGUAAAAAAAACAGUGUUGUACUCAAGAUUGGUUCCGGCUUUCUAGACUUUUUGAAGGUCUGGGUCUUGUAUCGGAAUCAACCACAUUUUUGGGGGUCAGCCCUAUGUUCCCACAUUUCUAAGAAUUUUUUUUCAC